rnacentral:rRNA from 1 species
CAAGCGUUGUCCGGAAUCAUUGGGCGUAAAGCGCGCGUAGGUGGCCACAUAAGUCCGUUGUGAAAGUCAAAGGCUCAACCUUUGAAAGCCGAUGGAUACUGUGUGGCUAGAGUACGGAAGAGGCGAGUGGAAUUCCUGGUGUAGCGGUGGAAUGCGCAGAUAUCAGGAGGAACACCAAUAGCGAAGGCAGCUCGCUGGGACGUUACUGACACUGAGGCGCGAAAGCGUGGGGAGCGAACAGG